ACAAGCGACUAAGUGCACAGGGUGGAUGCCUUGGCGAUUACAGGCGAUGAAGGACGUAGAAGCUUGCGAUAAGCUGCGGGGAGUUGGCAAACAAACUUUGAUCCGCAGAUUUCCGAAUGGGGAAACCCGGCCUUUUGGUCAUCAAUAACUGAAUCCAUAGGUUAUUGAAGCGAACGUAGUGAACUGAAACAUCUAAGUAACUACAGGAAAAGAAAUCAACCGAGAUUCCCAAAGUAGUGGCGAGCGAAAUGGGAAGAGCCUGCAAGAGAUAGUGAGAUGAGAUAGUGGAACAUUCUGGAAAGGAUGACGAAACAGGGUGAUAGUCCCGUACACGAAAUCCAUCUAACAGGACUGGGCUUGCGACAAGUAGGGCGGGACACGAGAAAUCCUGUCUGAAGAUGGGGGGACCAUCCUCCAAGGCUAAAUACUCGUAAUCGACCGAUAGUGAACCAGUACCGUGAGGGAAAGGCGAAAAGAACCCCGGGAGGGGAGUGAAAUAGAACCUGAAACCGUGUGCAUACAAACAGUAGGAGCCCGUGCUUGCAUGGGUGACUGCGUACCUUUUGUAUAAUGGGUCAGCGACUUACAUUCAGUGGCGAGGUUAACCGAAUAGGGGAGCCGAAGAGAAAUCGAGUCCGAACAGGGCGACAGUCGCUGGGUGUAGACCCGAAACCAAGUGAUCUACUCAUGGCCAGGAUGAAGGUGCGGUAACACGCACUGGAGGUCCGAACCCACUAACGUUGAAAAGUUAGGGGAUGAGCUGUGGGUAGGGGUGAAAGGCUAAACAAACUUGGAGAUAGCUGGUUCUCUCCGAAAGCUAUUUAGGUAGUGCCUCAAGUAUCACCACUAGGGGUAGAGCACUGUUAUGGCUAGGGGGUCAUCGCGACUUACCAAACCAUUGCAAACUCCGAAUACUAGUGAGUGCGAGCUUGGGAGACAGACACCGGGUGCUAACGUCCGAUGUCAAGAGGGAAACAACCCAGACCGCCAGCUAAGGUCCCAAAGAUUGGCUAAGUGGAAAACGAAGUGGGAAGGCUAAAACAGUCAGGAGGUUGGCUUAGAAGCAGCCAUCCUUUAAAGAAAGCGUAAUAGCUCACUGAUCGAGUCGUCCUGCGCGGAAGAUGUAACGGGGCUAAGCCGGUCACCGAAGCUGCGGAUAUCCUGUAUGGGAUAUGGUAGGAGAGCGUUCUGUAAGCCUGAGAAGGUGUGUUGAGAAGCAUGCUGGAGGUAUCAGAAGUGCGAAUGCUGACAUGAGUAGCGAUAAUGGGGGUGAAAGGCCCCCACGCCGUAAGCCCAAGGUUUCCUGUUCAACGUUCAUCGGAGCAGGGUGAGUCGGCCCCUAAGGCGAGGCAGAGAUGCGUAGCUGAUGGGAAGCAGGUUAAUAUUCCUGCACCGUCGUUAGAUGCGAUGGGGGGACGGAUCGCGGAAAGUCGUCCGGGUGUUGGAAGUCCCGGUUCUUGAUUCGAAGGAGGCUGCUAGGCAAAUCCGGCAGCGUAAUCCAAGGGAUUGAGACGAGUGGCCUUGUGCCGCGAAGCGAUUGGAAGUGGUUCCAAGAAAAGCCUCUAAGCUUCAGUCUAACGAGACCGUACCGCAAACCGACACAGGUGGGCGAGAUGAGUAUUCUAAGGCGCUUGAGAGAACUCGGGAGAAGGAACUCGGCAAAUUGGUACCGUAACUUCGGGAUAAGGUACGCCCUUGUAUCUUGACUGGCCUGCGCCAGGAGGGAGAAGGGGUUGCAAUAAAAAGGUGGCUGCGACUGUUUAAUAAAAACACAGCACUCUGCAAACACGAAAGUGGACGUAUAGGGUGUGACGCCUGCCCGGUGCUGGAAGAUUAAAUGAUGGGGUGAGAGCUCUUGAUCGAAGUCCCAGUAAACGGCGGCCGUAACUAUAACGGUCCUAAGGUAGCGAAAUUCCUUGUCGGGUAAGUUCCGACCUGCACGAAUGGCGUAACGAUGGCCACACUGUCUCCUCCCGAGACUCAGUGAAGUUGAAAUGUUUGUGAUGAUGCAAUCUACCCGCGGCUAGACGGAGAGACCCCAUGAACCUUUACUGUAGCUUUACAUUGGACUUUGAACCAAUCUGUGUAGGAUAGGUGGGAGGCUUUGAAGCGUGAACGCCAGUUUGCGUGGAGCCGGCCUUGAAAUACCACCCUGGUUUGUUUGAGGUUCUAACCUUGGCCCGUUAUCCGGGUUGGGGACAGUGUAUGGUAGGCAGUUUGACUG
rnacentral:rRNA from 1 species